rnacentral:sRNA from 1 species
GCUGCUGCUGCUGUUGUUGCUGUUGCUGCUGCUGCUGUUGUGCCGCCGACGGCAUGUAGACACUCGACAGCGGCAGCGGCAGCGGUGGCGGC